GCCGAUGUGGUGGAAUGGUAGACACGGGGGAUUCAAAAUCCCCUGCCUUAACAGCGUGAGAGUUCGAGUCUCUCCAUCGGUACCA
rnacentral:tRNA from 1 species